CAACUGCAACCGCACGUUUUAAGUUUAAGUGUUCAUAUGAACCACUAAAUUACGGCGAGUCUAAGGAU
rnacentral:sRNA from 2 species